rnacentral:rRNA from 1 species
AACUUUCAACAACGGAUCUCUUGGCUCUGGCAUCGAUGAAGAACGCAGCGAAAUGCGAUACGUAGUGUGAAUUGCAGAAUUCAGUGAAUCAUCGAAUCUUUGAACGCACAUUGCGCCCGCUAGUAUUUUAGCGGGCAUGCCUGUUCGAGCGUCAUUU